CAUAGACUGUCCCCCACUAAAUAUGAAUAAGCUCCACUCUUCAUCUCUUGUCAAAAUCACAGCUGUUUGAAUUGGUAAACAACAAUUGAACAAAGUCAAAAAUAAAAUAUAGUUUUAAUGUCCUAAAAUAUUGAGAAAAAAAUUAUUACAAAUGGCUAGAAAAAAUUAAUUGUGUCAGGUGCGUUUUCUAUGGGACAGUAGGCAACUGCCAACAAACAAAUAUUUAUUUAAGGCCUAUGUUUUAAAAUAUUUAGUAAAUAUUGUACAUGUGUAUUCUAUACUUACAGGUAUUUGCUAGUAAUAAGCAGAUGGUACUCCAUUAUACUGCACUGAUAGCUUCUCAAAGAUUAAAAAAUUAAUAUGAUACAUGCAAACAGGCACAGUUAAAAUGUCAAUCAUCACAAGAUCAAACUUCAGUACCAGAUUAACCCUAAAUCAAAUAUCAUCCUGAUUUAUCAAAAGACUACAUAGAACAGUCUAGAGGUGGAAACUGAUAGAUCAUUUGAAGAGGAUGCUGUAAAGCAGUCAUAAAUAUGUUUCACAAAACAAUGAACACCUUGUUACAGCAUAUCUUGAACAG